AGGAAGAACUUAUUUACUACUGUUCACUAGGAGAGUUUCAUACCAUGUGUGUUGGUCCACUAUAAGGCAAUGUGUGGGUUUUUUUGUUUUUGCUUUAUCUGAUUUUUUUUGGUCAUUUUUUCUACUUUUCUGAUCAUGAACCGUUGUUUUUUUCUCCCAUGUGAUGAAGGUCUAUUUUAAGCUUAUUAUGUGGUUACUUUAUGUUCCUUUAGUUGGUUGUAAAGAACUUUAUUUGCCUUUUUACCGCUUUUCUGAUUACUUUUCAUGUUUUUUUCAUCUUCUCUGGUAUCUAAUGUUACUUUUGAAGGAAAACUGAACUUUUGAGCAUACUUUUUGAUAGUUUUAACCCAUUAUAAUUCUUCUUCUCCGUCUAUUUAAUCCCUCCAACCACCCACAUUUCAAGCUUUUUGUUCAUCAUAGAAGAUUCUUGAAGCUUUCUCUGCUCUCUCAGCCACGAUGAUUUUUCCAGCUUCAACAAUGGUGUUUUCGGUUGGCAAUCGCCUCAUUCUUGCUCCACAACUUCAAUCUUUCACAUCUGGUUCGUGAUUUAUGUUCUCUGAUUUGGUAUCUGGUUCUGGUUUUCAACGCUGCCUCCAGAUUCGCGUUCUAAUCGCGAUUCAGAUUUGGGCAUUGGGAUUUUCGUUUCUUUUUUCUUCUUCACAACUUCCUGAUUGUGCCUGAUGAAAGAUCAAGCGAAUGCUUACUACCUUCAUCCUUCGGAUAAUCUUGGUUUGCUCGCACAUUGAGGAGGCUGCAUCCGGUGAUGUACAAUGCCAGAUGAUAGACAUGACGCAUCCAAGAGUUGUUCCAAUGCACAAGGUGAAUUUUGAUGCAAAGAUGGAGUAUGAUAAGAUCCAGAAUUACAAAAUUCUGCAGGACGUGUUCAACAAGCUGAAAAUUGACAAGAUCACAUAUUUUUUAUUAAUGCUUCCUUUUACCCUUCACUCAACACCAAUGUAUACUCUCAAGCAUGCACUGGCACACUACAAUUUUGGGAAUAAUCUCUUUAGGCAGGUUGUAUAAGGCUACAUUAGAAAUUAAGUAAAGGAGCUCCUCCCUUACACCAUCACGGAAGCCCUUUCCUACAAAAACUGCCCCGCCUUCAUCCACUGCACAUUGCAGCUAGACAAGGCAAUCAAGGUGUUGAACUUAUCGAACAAUACCAGUGGAGGAGAGGGAGAUUGUCUGGUGCUAGGGCAGUGGAGUCAAAACAACUAUGGGUCAUUGUGACAAGUAAGACACAUAAGGUGAAGUAGAAAAAGCUAAAACUAAGAUAUGGUCUUCAAAAUCAGAACUGAGAUCACAGUUUUCCUUCUUAAAGUCUGCAUAUGAAUUUCUCUUUUCUCCAACUAAUGUACUUCUUCUAUCAAUUUUAUAACUCACUCAAUGAUGAUGUGAUCCAUUUUUGUUGUUAUAAUGUUAUGUAUCUGUCUGGUGUCUCUGCUUGCCAUUUUCUAUUUUAGAAAGUCACAAUAUCUUACUUUUAUUUAGAUUACUUUGUAGGCUUAAUAAAACUUGAUGCGAAAAUGACAGUUGGCUGCAGCAGUAAGAGAGUUUUAUACCACGUGUGUUGGUCCACCAUAAGGCACCGUGCGGUUUUCUUUUUUGGUUACUUUAUGUUACUUUAGUGGGUUGUAAUGAACUUUAUUUGCCUUUCCACCGCUUUUCUACUUUUUCUGAAAUGAAACUUACCCUUCAUUGUUCUCCUUAGUUUGAUAUGUGUUAUUAAUUUUUGUGUUUAUGUAGUUUGUGGCUGAUGGCUUUUCUCUUCGCUCGGCUGAACGAGGUUCUGGCCCGAAAGCUUGCUGAGGAGUGAGGACAGAUACUCGGGUGUGGAGGUUAGGGUCACUCCAGCGAAAACUGAGAUCAUCAUCAGAGCCACUCGAACCCAGGCCGUUCUAGACUUCUAGGUGAGAAGGGAAGGAGAAUUAGGGAGCUUACCUUAGUGGUAUCGAAGAGGUUCAAGUUUCCUGAAAACAGUGUAGAACUCUAUGCUGAAAAGGUCAACAACAGGGGCCUUUGUGCUAUUGCCCAAGCGGAGUCCCUCCGCUACAAGCUCCUUGGUGGCCUAGCUCUUUUUACUGUUUUUGUUCUAGGCUCUGAAGAAUAGAAUAUGAACACUUGCUUUGAGCAUACAAUACGAAACUGUAUUGCCCUUCUAUGCUAAAGUUUUCACCAAGUGACCCAACCAAAUUAUUGGUGGCUUCUGCUGACUCACAUGUCUUUAUACGUUCCAGAAUGGAUGUCAUCUACAAAUUCGAAGGCCUAAAAAUUGCAGGUCAGAUGCAAGCUUCCUUCACCUCUGAUGGGAAACAAUGUCUCAGUUAGCGAGGGUUCAAUUCAAAUGUUGUAUUUGGAACUUCCCUUUCGUUUGUUGCUGCUGGUUCUAUUGCUUGCUGCUGGUUUUUUUGCUCUUCUGCAGCCUUAGUUCCUUUGCCGCACUUUCUGUUUUUCUUUCUACUGGUUCGCGUUUUCGCGUCCUGUUUCUUUAUAAUUGGGUUUGUAGCACCCAUAAUGCUACAAUUCAUUUAUUCAUUGGCCUUUCAGAAAAAAUAUUGGCCAUGACAGGAAUACUUCCAAAACAAAGAUAUUUUGGUUUUGAGUCAAUGCCAGGAACAAAGUUGUUGCA